rnacentral:tRNA from 1 species
GUGCAGUGGCAGAGCGUCUGUCUCGUAAACAGAAGGUCGGCGGUUCAAUCCCGCC